rnacentral:rRNA from 1 species
GAUGAACGCUGGCGGCGUGCCUAAUACAUGCAAGUCGAGCGAACAGAUGAGGAGCUUGCUCCUCUGACGUUAGCGGCGGACGGGUGAGUAACACGUGGAUAACCUACCUAUAAGACUGGGAUAACUUCGGGAAACCGGAGCUAAUACCGGAUAAUAUAUUGAACCGCAUGGUUCAAUAGUGAAAGACGGUUUUGCUGUCACUUAUAGAUGGAUCCGCGCAGCAUUAGCUAGUUGGUAAGGUAACGGCUUACCAAGGCAACGAUGCGUAGCCGACCUGAGAGGGUGAUCGGCCACACUGGAACUCAGACACGGUCCAGACUCCUACGGGAGGCAGCAGUAGGGAAUCUUCCGCAAUGGGCGAAAGCCUGACGGAGCAAAGCCGCGUGAGUGAUGAAGGUCUUCGGAUCGUAAAACUCUGUUAUUAGGGAAGAACAAAUGUGUAAGUAACUAUGCACGUCUUGACGGUACCUAAUCAGAAAGCCACGGCUAACUACGUG